UACGGAGGUUGAAAGCGUUGUUCGGAAUCACUGGGCGUAAAGCGCGUGUAGGCGGCCUCUUAAGUCUGGUGUGAAAGCCCGGGGCUCACCCCCGGAAGGGCACUGGAUACUGGGAGGCUAGAGUACCGGAGAGGAGGGUGGAAUUCCUGGUGUAGCGGUGAAAUGCGUAGAUAUAAGGAGGAACACCGGUGGCGAAGGCGGCCCUCUGGACGUCUACUGACGCUGAGAAGCGAAAGCGUGGGGAGCAAACAGG
rnacentral:rRNA from 1 species